rnacentral:rRNA from 1 species
UACGGAGGGUGCAAGCGUUAUCCGGAAUCACUGGGUUUAAAGGGUGCGUAGGCGGCGUUGUAAGUCAGAAGUGAAAGCUUUCAGCUUAACUGGAAAAUUGCUUUUGAUACUGCAGCGCUUGAAUCAGGUUGAGGUUGGCGGAAUGUGACAUGUAGCGGUGAAAUGCAUAGAUAUGUCAUAGAACACCAAUUGCGAAGGCAGCUGACUGGGCCUGAAUUGACGCUGAGGCACGAAAGCGUGGGGAGCGAACAGG